UACGGAGGGUGCAAACGUUGCUCGGAAUCAUUGGGCGUAAAGCGCACGUAGGCGGUCGGCUAUGUCAGAUGUGAAAGCCUCGGGCUUAACCCGAGAAGGGCAUCCGAAACUGGCCGGCUUGAGUACGGAAGAGGGUCUCGGAAUUCCCGGUGUAGAGGUGAAAUUCGUAGAUAUCGGGAGGAACACCGAUGGCGAAGGCAGCCCCCUGGGCUAACACUGACGCUCAUGCACGAAAGCGUGGGGAGCAAACAGG
rnacentral:rRNA from 1 species